rnacentral:lncRNA from 1 species
GAAAACCAUGAAGGAUUAAAAAUAAAAAUAGUAUUUUCUAAUCUAGGAAGAAGAUAUAAGAAAAUAGGUGAACAUUUAUAUCUAAUGUUAGAAAAAGAAGAAUUAAAAUUAGAAGAUAAAUUAACAGCAAUGGUAAGAAUAGAAAAAGAAAAUGAAGAGAUAGAUAGAAAAAAGGAAAUAGAAAAAAUAAAACAACAAACUACGGAAGAAAUACGAAAAAUAGAAGAAACCAAAAAUAGUAGAAUUGCUGAAUUAGAAAAAGAAUUACAAAUGUUAAAAGAACUGUAUGAACAAAGACAAAAAGAAAA